AUUGAACGCUGGCGGCAGGCCUAACACAUGCAAGUCGAACGAGUGGCGGACGGGUGAGUAAUGUCUGGGAAACUGCCUGAUGGAGGGGGAUAACUACUGGAAACGGUAGCUAAUACCGCAUACCAUCAGAUGUGCCCCGAUGGGAUUAGCUUGUUGGUGGGGUAACGGCUCACCAGGGCGACGCUCCCUAGCUGGUCUGAGAGGAUGACCAGCCACACUGGAACUGAGACACGGUGCAGGCUCCUACGGGAGGCAGCAGUGGGGAAUAUUGCGCAAUGGGGGCAAGCCUGAGGCAGCCAUGCCGGGUGUAGGAAGAAGGCCUUCGGGUUGUAAAGUACUUUCAGGGGGGAGGCGUUACCCGGAGGAGAAGCACCGGCUAACUCCGUGCCAGCAGCCGCGGUAAUAC
rnacentral:rRNA from 1 species